rnacentral:sRNA from 1 species
UGUUUUAUUUAAACUUACGUUGAUUUCGUGUAAGAAUACGUUCUACCCAUGAAAUAUUUAAACCUGAUUUUUGAAAUCUUUUGAAUUUAGGCGGUAUGUUAAAAUUCUCUAUAAUCAAAUAAAUAUAAUUGACUCAAAGAUUAAAAUCGGAGGAGAAUGCAAAUUGUUAACAUGUUUAUCAUAUACUGUAAGUAGUCAUAUGAUAUAUUGUUCAAAAUCGUAUAUUUUUUUAAUGGUUUUGUGUUAAUGAUUAUUGAAAAAUUAACUCUAAUGCCCUCUCCUUGAUGCCCCUUUUCAACUCUACCCUUUUUUUUGCUAUUUUCAUUUCUACCCCAUCUAAUAGUUUUAUCCCCAAACUACCCCAUCUAAUAUUAUUAUUCCCAAACUACCCUUAAUGAACUACAAACACUUCAUCGACCUAAUUUUAUUUACUCUUUCUCUUGUUCUUCCUUCGUCGGAAAUUGUUUAAUUUGUCACCGUUGCAUCCCGUCGUCGCCGUCGGAGAUUGUCGGAUUCGUGUUGUCGAUUUCACCGUCUCAGUCUUCAUUCAAUCUCUUGCUUUUCCCAGGUUUGUUUUUCGAAUCGAUUUCGAAUUUGUAAUGUUAGCCUAAAUGUCUCGAUUUCGAAUUGGUUUAUUCGAUUUUGUUGUUGCUUAUGUGAAUUCGAUUUCUAAAUCAUAUUAUCUGUCGUAAGUAAGAACUCUUUCAAGGAGAAACAGAUUGGUUGAGAAUCAACUCUAAACCAAAGAGUUUAUCCUUUAGUCAUCACUCUCUUCUGCAUGAGGUAGUGGAAAAAUUUCCCUGAAAAUUUUACACCCCUCUUUGCCUUCAUUCUUGGUCCCAAUUCAACUAAAGAACCAAAAAAAGAACUUCUAAUCUUGUCAAAUAAACUCUCGCCUAACGCUUCCUCUACUUUAUUAACUAAAAUCCAAUCCGAAUGUUGCUGAACCGUACCCAUUGCAAUAGAUUCGUUACCUUCUUUGUAGAUCUGUUCAGGCAAUGUAAGGAUUUCACUCUCUGAAUCCAUCUGCGAAACAUGUACAAAAUAAAUCAGAUUCGAACUGAAAUUUAGAUCUAAACUAUUGUCAGAUCCACUAUAAAAUCGAGAGUCAUAUUACCGUCGGAUUUGGCGAUUUCUCUGUCGGAUCUAUCGAUCUCCAAAUCGAAGGAAACUCUUCGUCGGAUUUCUCUGGGGAUUGUUUCUCGUUAGAGAGAAAUAAAUUCGGCGAUAGAUCAGAAUUCGUCGUCGGAAAGAAAUGAAUUCGGCGUCGGAAAGAAAUUAAUUAGGCGUCGGAGAGAAAUGAAUUCGGCGUUGGAGAGAUCUGAAUUCGUCGGCGAAGAGGUUUGUCGGAGAGAACUGAAUUCGUCGGCGAAGAGGUUUGUCGAAGAGGAAGAGGUUUGUCGACAGGAGAAAUAAAAGUGAAACUCUAAUUAUUCAUUAAGAUCAAGACAGUAAUUUUCCACACUAGAAGGGGCAGUUUUAAAAAUGGCCAUCAGGAAAGGGUAUUGUUGCAAAAUGUCAUUAGAAAAAGGGACUUUUGCAAAUCUCCCAUGAUUAUUAAGAUUACUCAUGUUAGGUGUUCAAUUUUGUUAAUUAAAU